GCAAACUUGGUCAUUUAGAGGAAGUAAAAGUCGUAACAAGGUUUCCGUAGGUGAACCUGCGGAAGGAUCAUUACUGAGUGCGAGUUCGUCACGAACUCAACCUCCCAUCCGAUGUUUAAUCAUACCUCUUGUUGCUUUGGUGGUCGAGUUGACUGUCGAGUCCUCUCACCACCAAUAGCCUUUCUUAAUUCUUUUAUAACCAUGUGACUGAACUAUUUUUAUUUAAUUAAAAACAAAAACUUUCAACAACGGAUCUCUUGGUUCUGGCAUCGAUGAAGAACGCAGC
rnacentral:misc_RNA from 1 species